CAGCCGCCACGGUAAAACGUAGGGUGCAAGCGUUAAUCGGAAUUACUGGGCGUAAAGCGUGCGCAGGCGGUUUGUUAAGACAGAUGUGAAAUCCCCGGGCUCAACCUGGGAACUGCAUUUGUGACUGGCAAGCUAGAGUAUGGCAGAGGGGGGUGGAAUUCCGCGUGUAGCAGUGAAAUGCGUAGAUAUGCGGAGGAACACCGAUGGCGAAGGCAGCCCCCUGGGCCAAUACUGACGCUCAUGCACGAAAGCGUGGGGAGCAAACAGGAUUAGAUACCCGUGUAGUCCCUGUCUCUUAUAU
rnacentral:rRNA from 1 species